UUUUUUUUUUUUUUUUUUUUUUUUUUUUUCCUAUGACGCGGCGGCAGGCCUAACACAUGCAAGUCGAGCGGUAGAGAGAAGCUUGCUUCUCUUGAGAGCGGCGGACGGGUGAGUAAUGCCUAGGAAUCUGCCUGGUAGUGGGGGAUAACGUUCGGAAACGGACGCUAAUACCGCAUACGUCCUACGGGAGAAAGCAGGGGACCUUCGGGCCUUGCGCUAUCAGAUGAGCCUAGGUCGGAUUAGCUAGUUGGUGAGGUAAUGGCUCACCAAGGCGACGAUCCGUAACUGGUCUGAGAGGAUGAUCAGUCACACUGGAACUGAGACACGGUCCAGACUCCUACGGGAGGCAGCAGUGGGGAAUAUUGGACAAUGGGCGAAAGCCUGAUCCAGCCAUGCCGCGUGUGUGAAGAAGGUCUUCGGAUUGUAAAGCACUUUAAGUUGGGAGGAAGGGCAGUUACCUAAUACGUGAUUGUUUUGACGUUACCGACAGAAUAAGCACCGGCUAACUCUGUGCCAGCAGCCGCGGUAAUACAGAGGGUGCAAGCGUUAAUCGGAAUUACUGGGCGUAAAGCGCGCGUAGGUGGUUAGUUAAGUUGGAUGUGAAAUCCCCGGGCUCAACCUGGGAACUGCAUUCAAAACUGACUGACUAGAGUAUGGUAGAGGGUGGUGGAAUUUCCUGUGUAGCGGUGAAAUGCGUAGAUAUAGGAAGGAACACCAGUGGCGAAGGCGACCACCUGGACUGAUACUGACACUGAGGUGCGAAAGCGUGGGGAGCAAACAGGAUUAGAUACCCUGGUAGUCCACGCCGUAAACGAUGUCAACUAGCCGUUGGGAGCCUUGAGCUCUUAGUGGCGCAGCUAACGCAUUAAGUGACCGCC
rnacentral:rRNA from 1 species